AACCUCCGCAAUGUGAGAAAUCGCGACGGGGGGAUCCCAAGUGCCAUUCUUAACGGGAUGGCUUUUCAUUAGUGUAAAGAGCUUUUGGAAUAAGAGCUGGGCAAGACCGGUGCCAGCCGCCGCGGUAACACCGGCAGCUCUAGUGGUAACAAUUUUUAUUGGGCCUAAAGCGUCCGUAGCCGGUUUAAUAAGUCUCUGGUGAAAUCCUGUAGCUUAACUGUGGGAAUUGCUGGAGAUACUAUUAGACUUGAGACCGGGAGAGGUUAGAGGUACUCCCAGGGUAGAGGUGAAAUUCUGUAAUCCUGGGAGGACCGCCUGUUGCGAAGGCGUCUAACUGGAACGGUUCUGACGGUGAGGGACGAAAGUUAGGGGCGCGAACCGGAUUAGAUACCCGGGUAGUCCUAACUGUAAACGAUGCGGACUUGGUGUUGGGGUGGCUUUGAGCUGCUCCAGUGCCGAAGGGAGCUGUUAAGUCCGCCGCCUGGGAAGUACGGUCGCAAGACUGAAACUUAAGGAAUU
rnacentral:rRNA from 1 species